rnacentral:rRNA from 1 species
UACGGGGGGAGCAAGCGUUGUUCGGAUUUACUGGGCGUAAAGGGCGCGUAGGCGGCGUGACAAGUCACUUGUGAAAUCUCCGGGCUUAACUCGGAGCGGCCAAGUGAUACUGUCGUGCUAGAGUGCGGAAGGGGCUACUGGAAUUCUCGGUGUAGCGGUGAAAUGCGUAGAUAUCGAGAGGAACACCUGCGGCGAAGGCGGGUAGCUGGGCCGACACUGACGCUGAGGCGCGAAAGCCAGGGGAGCGAACGGG